rnacentral:tRNA from 1 species
ACUUAAAUAGCUUAAAUUUAGAGUAUAAUAUUGAAGAUAUUAAGGUAAUAAUAAUUAUUUUUAAGUA